GCCCCUCCCUCUAAAAGCACUCUGUGUGGGGAAGAUGAGAGCCAGAGCAAAGCUCAGAGGAACCAACCUGGAUCUGGAUCUGGAUCUGAAUCUGGAUCUGGAUCUGGAUCCAGCUGUGUGUCCUUCAGGAGUGACAGAUCUAAGGAUUGGGUUCCUGACUUCAAGUCCAUCAGUUCAGUAGUGAAACAGUUCCAACAGAGAUCUGGAUCUGGAUCCAGCUGUGUGUCCAAAAGGAGUGAUGAAUCAAAGGAUUGGGUUCCUGACUUCAAGUCCAUCGGUUCAGCAGUGGAACAGUAAGUG